UAAAACAUCAAUCCAAUUGCCCCCCAAAGCUAAGACAGAAAGUGCCUGUAGCAAGUAUGUUAAAAAAUUACAAGCUUAGAGUAAUGUCUACAAAUUCUCGCAGUUUAGGGAAUAAGUUCCAUGAACUUGGACAAUAAUGGCAACUGAUAAUGUAGAUUUAGUCGCUGUUACUGAGACAUGCUAUAAUGAGAAAAAUGACUGGAGAACAGA